rnacentral:lncRNA from 1 species
GGCCGGACCGCCUCCGGCGCCGUGGUGUCCGAAGCGCUGCAGGACAGCCGGGGGCUCUCCCAGAGCCCCCAAACAGGCGCCUGGCCACAAGCGGCGCUGCCCCUGCAGCCGCCACUAGCCGGAAGGGGCAGCACAGCCACCUCCAGGAGAUGGGCCGGACCAGCAGCUGCUGUGGAGCCACAGCCCCAGAGCACCGGGAGGAGUCCUUAGGAGCCACCACACACUGGGGGACAGCGCCACAGACCCCAGGACACCCGAGGACACCGCUGGAGCUUGCCUUCAAGGAAAAGAAGCCCACUGGAGACCGCCAGAGACUGUCGGAGACCAAAGGACACCGUGGGAUCUGCACCUUGCCUUAAAAAAAGGAAGAGUUUGGAGACUUGGAGACAAAACCUUACGAGGUUUGGUCAGGAAUUCUUGAAAGGACUGCUGGAAGGAUUUUUCGAAGUGUUCUUGCCCCCAAGGUUCAUUAGGUCAGAGGCAUUUGGGCACUCUCCCAAGUCCGGGAGAUGGUUCCACCUUAAGGUAGGAUAGGCUAGGGCUUGGGCAGGUCCUGGGAGGCAUGAGCAGCCUGUGGGACAAGGAGCCGGGUCUUGCUCCCAUGCUCAGAUCGCCAGCACUGGGGUCAGGAAGGAAUUUUUUCCCCAGGGGCAGAUUGGCCCUGGUCCCUGGGGGUUUUUUGCCUUCCUCUGCAGCAUUGAGCAUGACCACUUUGCAGAGCUCCUCUGGGCCCUUUUGGCUCAGAUCCUGCCUGCUGCUCAAGCACCAGGAAGAUGGCCUCUCGUGCCCUGCAGCUGGGGGGAGGAAGGCUUUUUUUUCCCCCAGGUGGGACACCAAGUGUCUCCGGGGGUUUUUUGCCUUCCUCUGCAGCGUUGAGCACGGCCCCUUGCCACGGCUUCUUUGGGCCAUUUGGGCUGGGUGCCUGCUGCUCCACGAGUUGGCCCUAAACUUAGCUAGAACAGCCUACCUACACCAGCAUAGAACAGCUCACCUAAACCAACCUUAAACAACUGCAAACAACUAACCAGCCUU